CAGGAUGACGGCCCUAUGGAUUGUAAACUGCUUUAAGGCGGAGAAACACUGCUUCGUGAAGCAGCUUGACGGUAUCGUAAGAAUAAGGAUCGGCUAACUCCGUGCCAGCAGCCGCGGUAAUACGGAGGAUCCAAGCGUUAUCCGGAAUCAUUGGGUUUAAAGGGUCCGUAGGCGGUUUAAUAAGUCAGUGGUGAAAGCCCAUCGCUCAACGGUGGAACGGCCAUUGAUACUGUUAAACUUGAAUUAUUAGGAAGUAACUAGAAUAUGUAGUGUAGCGGUGAAAUGCUUAGAGAUUACAUGGAAUACCAAUUGCGAAGGCAGGUUACUACUAAUGGAUUGACGCUGAUGGACGAAAGCGUGGGUAGCGAACAGGAUUAGAUACCCUGGUAGUCCACGCCGUAAACGAUGGAUACUAGCUGUUGGGAGCAAUUUCAGUGGCUAAGCGAAAGUGAUAAGUAUCCCACCUGGGGAGUACGUUCGCAAGAAUGAAACUCAAAGGAAUUGACGGGGGCCCGCACAAGCGGUGGAGCAUGUGGUUUAAUUCGAUGAUACGCGAGGAACCUUACCAAGGCUUAAAUGUAGAUUGACCGGUUUGGAAACAGAUCUUUCGCAAGA
rnacentral:rRNA from 1 species